CCUGCUGUCACUUCUCAGCCAUCAGCAAUGUUUCACAGUGCUUCAACUUGCCAAAUAAUGGGGUUUUGUGAUGUUUUCUCUGCCUGACUUGUUUGUGAUCACCCUACUUCAACUCAUCACUCAGUAUGCGGUUUGGCUUCCUGUCAUUCACCCUGUCUUGCAGGCUAGCUCCAUAAAGCUGGAUUGUCGUGAGUGUGACUCCGUUGCCACUGGGCUCACAGUGUAUCACAACUGAGGAAUUGUUUGAGAAUUUGAUUUUAAGUAGAAAGUAUGAGCUGGAAGCCACAGGACAAUAUGCUAUCUGUUAGCGUGCCAAAGAUGUGCUCACUUUCCUCAUUAGCCUCUCUAGUUCAUCUCCGAGCACAUCACUUGAUUGGCAUUUUGCUCAAAUACACUUUCAAGAUCAAUUCUAGCUGAAAAUUUUCAGCUCCCUAUUUUGACUUGUGUUGGAUCUUCCCGAUAGUGGGUAAUACGUGGCCUAGGAUAUCUCCCAGGAAGAUUGUUAAUCUAAAGCAUUCGUAAAAUUGUGCGUUUACUAGUGCACAUCGCUGCACAAUGAUUCUUGAGGAAAUGUCUUAAGGAAUUUGGCAAUAACAUAGGCUUUGAAGGAAAAGAGGUUUAUAAACGACUAGAAACAUUAUAAACCAGUCAAGGAAAUAGCAGGUGGCCCAGCCAUCAGUUGUGACUAAGUUCAAAAUUGAUUAUGUGGUAACCUGAGAAAAAACAGACUUGUGUUUGGGAAAGUAAAUGAGUGCAGAUUGACAAGGUCUGAUUCCACAGGCAUAGCUGGAUAUCUCAUUGUUUACUCCCAAAUGAUAAAUAACAUGUGUUUAUUUCCAAACAAUAAAUAACUUGAUGACAUUACUUGUCUAGAUCCAUCUGUUCUGACAUUACUGGUGUCUAAUUGUGUCAAACCACUCUGUAUUUUUGUAGUCCUAUUGUAAGUCUUUUUUAAAAUUUAAAUUAAUUUUAUAAAAACAUUUUUUCUACUUUAUAUGUUUGGUAAAAUAAUAAAUACCUAUCUUGAAAUAAGGGGAUAACAGAGAGUACAAAAAUAUAGAAGAUAAAUCACUCAAAAUUUUCUUCACAUAAGGACAAUCAUUAUGUAUUUAUAUUUUGGCAUUUUAUUCCAGACUCUUUAUCACUAUCUAUUUAUGCGACUAAAAUAGAAAAGAAGC
rnacentral:lncRNA from 1 species